GGCGGCGUGCUUAACACAUGCAAGUCGAGCGGGGUCCAUCUUGUCGCAAGACAAGGGAAGACCUANCGGCGAACGGGUGAGUAUCACGUGAGCAACCUGCCCCGAAGACUGGGAUAACACCGGGAAACCGGUGCUAAUACCGGAUGUCCUCCAGGAGUCGCAUGGCUCUUAGAGGAAAUGGAUUCCGCUUCGGGAGGGGCUCGCGGCCUAUCANCUUGUUGGCGGGGUAACGGCCCACCAAGGCUCCGACGGGUAGCUGGUCUGAGAGGACGACCAGCCACACUGGGACUGAGACACGGCCCAGACUCCUACGGGAGGCAGCAGUGGGGAAUCUUGCGCAAUGGGCGAAAGCCUGACGCAGCAACGCCGCGUGGGGGACGAAGGCCUUCGGGUCGUAAACCCCUUUCAGCAGGGACGAAAAUGACGGUACCUGCAGAAGAAGCCCCGGCCAACUACGUGCCAGCAGCCGCGGUAAUACGUAGGGGGCGAGCGUUGUCCGGAUUUAUUGGGCGUAAA
rnacentral:rRNA from 1 species